rnacentral:rRNA from 1 species
GACGAACGCUGGCGGCGUGCUUAACACAUGCCAGUCGAACGGAAAGCCCCUGCUUUUGUGGGGUGCUCGAGUGGCGAACGGGUGAGUAACACGUGAGUAACCUGCCCUCGACUUUGGGAUAACUUCAGGAAACUGGGGCUAAUACCGGAUAGGAGCUCCUGCUGCAUGGUGGGGGUUGGAAAGUUUCGGCGGUUGGGGAUGGACUCGCGGCUUAUCAGCUUGUUGGUGGGGUAGUGGCUUACCAAGGCUUUGACGGGUAGCCGGCCUGAGAGGGUGACCGGCCACAUUGGGACUGAGAUACGGCCCAGACUCCUACGGGAGGCAGCAGUGGGGAAUAUUGCACAAUGGGCGGAAGCCUGAUGCAGCAACGCCGCGUGCGGGAUGACGGCCUUCGGGUUGUAAACCGCUUUCGCCUGUGACGAAGCGUGAGUGACGGUAAUGGGUAAAGAAGCACCGGCUAACUACGUG